rnacentral:rRNA from 1 species
AACAAGGAUUCCCCUAGUAACUGCGAGUGAAGCGGGAAAAAGCUCAAAUUUAAAAUCUGGCGGUCUCCGGCCGUCCGAGUUGUAAUCUAGAGAAGUGUUAUCCGCGCUGGACCGUGUACAAGUCUCCUGGAAUGGAGCGUCAUAGAGGGUGAGAAUCCCGUCUUUGACACGGACUGCCAGGGCUUUGUGAUGCGCUCUCAAAGAGUCGAGUUGUUUGGGAAUGCAGCUCAAAAUGGGUGGUAAAUUCCAUCUAAAGCUAAAUAUUGGCGAGAGACCGAUAGCGAACAAGUACCGUGAGGGAAAGAUGAAAAGAACUUUGGAAAGAGAGUUAAACAGUACGUGAAAUUGCUGAAAGGGAAACGCUUGAAGUCAGUCGCGUUGGCCGGGGAUCAACCUUGCUUUUGCUGGGUGUACUUUCCGGUUGACGGGUCAGCAUCAAUUUUGACCGUUGGAUAAAGUUCAGGGGAAUGUGGCAUCUUCGGAUGUGUUAUAGCCCUUGGUCGCAUACAACGAUUGGGAUUGAGGAACUCAGCACGCCGCAAGGCCGGGUACUUGUACCACGUUCGUGCUUAGGAUGCUGGCAUAAUGGCUUUAAUCGACCCGUCUUGAAACACGGACCAAGGAGUCUAACAUGCCUGCGAGUGUUUGGGUGGAAAACCCGGGCGCGUAAUGAAAGUGAAAGUUGAGAUCCCUGUCGCGGGGAGCAUCGACGCCCGGACCAGAACUUUUGUGACGGAUCCGCGGUAGAGCAUGUAUGUUGGGACCCGAAAGAUGGUGAACUAUGCCUGAAUAGGGUGAAGCCAGAGGAAACUCUGGUGGAGGCUCGUAGCGAUUCUGACGUGCAAAUCGAUCGUCAAAUUUGGGUAUAGGGGC